rnacentral:rRNA from 1 species
UACAGAGGGUGCAAGCGUUGCUCGGAAUCAUUGGGCGUAAAGGGCACGUAGGUGGUCUCAUUUGUCUCGUGUGAAAUCCUUGGGCUUAACCCAAGAAGUGCGCGAGAAACGGUGAGACUCGAGUUUCGGAGAGGGACGUGGAAUUCCCGGUGUAGCGGUGAAAUGCGUAGAGAUCGGGAGGAACACCAAUGGCGAAGGCAGCUCGCUGGGACGGUACUGACGCUGAGGCGCGAAAGCGUGGGGAGCAAGCAGG